UGAGUUGUCUUCCUGAAUAGUU
rnacentral:miRNA from 1 species